GUCAGCAUGGUCGAGAGGUCUAAGACGCUACGUUCAGGUCGUAGUCAACUUCGGUUGACGUGGGUUCGAAUCCCACUGCUGACA